rnacentral:lncRNA from 1 species
UGUUGAGUCUUUGCUUGUUAAGUCAGUUUAUGUUGAGUUUUGUAAGUUUUCUAGCCAAGACAUUAGAGAAGUUAGUUGUCAAGCAUGCUGUCACGUAUUGAUUGAGUGUGAUAAAAAUUGAAGUUUGAAACUUGAAAAUUGAGAAUUUGUAAUCAAAAUGGUGUGUUGUUGUUAAAAGAUAUUGGGAAUGACGAAUUGAAGGGCAAUAAGUGAACACAAACCACACAUAAGUGAGAAUUUGAGCUGAAUAGAGUAGAACACUUUCUACUAAAUUUUGUUUUGAGAGAUCUUGAUGCCCAUGACGUUGUGAUAUUGUGUGUGUCAUUUAUGGCGAAUGAUAAGAGGCACUAGGGUAACCACUUGGCUUGCUCUUGAUUUCCUACCCUACAUUAACCCUAGUUAGCCACUUUUGAGCCUUGACCAUUCUUGUUCAUUCUAGUCACUAUAUAAUUAGCCAAGGCCGUUUUUAACUUUCUCUUUGGCCCUAUUAUGCAUGCUUGAACUUGAGUCACAUCCUAGAAACGUUUAAUGGAGUUGGCAUAAGGAUGUUUGUUUGCCCAAACGGAUCCUGAACUGAAUAGGAUUUUGAACUAUACGAUGGAUGGUCUGUUUGGCCAAACAAAUGGGGUAGAUAGGCAGAUUGGUUGAAACUUUUGAAGAAUCUUUGCAUGAUUGUAAUGUUUUAAGGAAGUGGUGCACGAAUAAUAAAAAUAAAAAAAAAAGAAGUCUAAAAAAGAGAGAAAAAUCAAAAAAAAAAAAAAAAAAAGAAGGAAAAAUCAGAAAAAGAGAAGAGAGUUGCACUAGUUGUGAAUUAAUACGCAUGCAAUGUGCUUUGAGAUUGUUGCCUGCCAGAUGUGGAGUUUGCCGUUGGAUCUCAUAUGCUUAGAAUUCUUGGUUGUGAUUUGAUUAUGCUUUGAGAUUGUUGCCUGCCAGAUGUGGAGUUUGCCGUUGGAUCUCAUAUGCUUAGAAUUCUUGGUUGUGAUUUGAUUAGAGCAUGCAUGAUGUGAUAUAAAUUGUUGAGCUUAGGACCCCUAGGAUCUUGCCACAUUUAUGAAAAGUCCUUAAGCCCCAUUAUAACCAAAUGAGAAAGACCUUUUUGAGCUAUGUUGUGACCACUCAAUAUCAUGACUGAUUGGGAAUGUUUUUUGUGUGUGAAGUACCUCAUUUAUGGAGUGAGUGAGCUAUGAGAGUUACUAUCACUGUUGCCCGAUUUGGACUUGAUUGAUAAUGACAACACAUUGUGGAAAUUCAUGUUCUUAAUUCAAGAGUUGAGAAGUGAUUUUGAAUUGCACGAUACGGUCUGACAGUUUGUUGCGAUUUCUAUUGCUUUGAUAUUGCUUGGCUAGUGUGUUUAGUUGUUUGGUUUGUCGUGUCUUGUCUCGUUUCUUUUUACUUUCCCUUUCUUUGCGUGUGUCGUUGUGUCUGUUUUCCGUUCUUUCGUUUCUAGAGUCUUCGUGUCAAGGAAAGGAGUUGCUUCUAGGGGCUGAAUUUCACCAUUAAUUCUUCUCUUAUUUCAUACUUGAGGACAAGUAUGAUCUAAGUGUGAGGGGAUUUGAUGUGUGUAUUUUAGCUACCUAAUUUAGUGUGCGUUUUGCCGUGGUUUCAUGUGAUAUUACAUGUUUUGCUAUGUUUUGGCACAGGAAUUGGAAGAAGUAGAGAUGGAGCUGCUGAUUGGAAGAAAUUGGAGAAAGACGAGCUGUCGAUGGAUAUUUGAUGUGAAGAU